rnacentral:rRNA from 1 species
GAUGAACGCUGGCGGCGUGCCUAAUACAUGCAAGUCGAGCGAACGGACGAGAAGCUUGCUUCUCUGAUGUUAGCGGCGGACGGGUGAGUAACACGUGGAUAACCUACCUAUAAGACUGGGAUAACUUCGGGAAACCGGAGCUAAUACCGGAUAAUAUUUUGAACCGCAUGGUUCAAAAGUGAAAGACGGUCUUGCUGUCACUUAUAGAUGGAUCCGCGCUGCAUUAGCUAGUUGGUAAGGUAACGGCUUACCAAGGCAACGAUGCAUAGCCGACCUGAGAGGCGACGCGGCCACGCGGAAGCGAACACCCGCCCCGGCCUCCGCCGGGGGUCCGCAGUGGGAAUUCUUCCGCAAGGGGCGAAAGCCGGACGGACCAACGCCGGGGGAUUGAGAAAGGUUUUCGGAUCGUAAAACUCUUUUAUCGGGAAAAAACAAAUGGGAAGGAAACGUCCCCCAUCUGGACGGCCCUAAUUCAAAAGCCCCGGCUACCUACGU